rnacentral:rRNA from 1 species
CAAUAGCGUAUAUUAUUGAUGUUGCAGUUGAAACGUUCGUAGUCGACCUUAACCUGUCAUAAUGUGUUGUUACUGCAUGUGACAACGUAUAAAUGAUGGGGAAAGCGGGCAGCAUCGGGUGAUUCACCCUUUGUUCGCACGUUUUACUUUGAGUAAAUCGGCGUGUUCCACGCAGGCAAGCGCCUUGUACGAUUUACCAUAGCAUAACAAAAGUAUGAAAAAAUCUCUUGGUUGUUCGAGAAUUUUUCCAUACAGAGAGGAACGGUUGAGGGCAUUCGUAUUCGACUGCUAGAGGUGAAAUUCUUUGACUAGUCGAGGACGAACUAUUGCGAAANCANNNGCCAAGGACGUUUCCUUNGA